rnacentral:lncRNA from 1 species
UCGGCUCACACCUCCGACGGCAUUCUCAUUUAUCAUAGUUUAUAUUCACAAUUGUGGCUCAAUUUCAACAUGGCAUAUAAUGUGAUGGCAAACAAGAUCAUUUUCAUCAUAUGGUUUAUAUAUGCAUUUCCAAUCAUCAACAUACAUGCGGCAGGAUCCAAUCACUUAUGUCAAUACAAUCCAUGGGGUCCAUGCAACAUAGAAUAAUCCAUACAUCACGACCUUUUUGAGA